GGAGCGGCGUGUACCCGCACCAAGGUCGGGGCCAAGGCUAUCUGAGCCCCCAUGCCCACCUCCACUACCACCAUUCCUCCCCCCUCUGUGUCCUCCUGCCGUUGCCGCCUCGGUGAUCCCAUCGCCACUACCCACCCAGAUCCUCCCAUCCCCGCCAUCGCCGCCACCAUCACCACCAUCAUCACCGCUGUGAUCAUGGUGCUGGUGACAAGAAUGAGCCUCUCCUGGUCAGUGGUGAAAUCCAAGGACCCGGGGUGAUUGAAACUCCAGGACCUCAGCUCUUCUUCGGAGAAACAUAAACAGCUUCCGCUGAGUCCGUCUACCCCAGCGUCCAUCCUGGAGUGACUUACCUAUGAGCUGGAUGUUUUCAUCUCAACACAGUAAUGUUGAUACAUAA